UGGCAAUGAUUAUAAUCUACCCGCGCUUCUGAUAAUUAUACAUGAAGCAUAUGGUAGAAAAAAUGGUUGAAUUUCUUGAUAUGAGCCA